rnacentral:rRNA from 1 species
CACGUAGGGACCAAGCGCUGUCCGGAUUCAUUGGGCGUAAAGAGCUCGUAGGCGGUUCGAUAAGUCGGGUGUGAAACCUCCAGGCUCAACCUGGAGACGCCACCCGAUACUGUCGUGACUAGAGUCCAGUAGGGGAGCGUGGAAUUCCUGGUGUAGCGGUGAAAGUGCGCAGAUAUCAGGAGGAACACCAGCGGCGAAGGCGGCGCUCUGGGCUGGAACUGACGCUGAGGAGCCGAAAGCGUGGGGAGCGAACAGG